AAGGAUGCCCAGAAGAACAAGGACAGAAAGUUGGCCAAUGAAGACAAAACGACCCAGUAAACAAGGCUCAGGGCAAGGCCAAGAAAUGGUCCCCAGGUAACUAUCGGAACAGGUUCCUCAACCUUGCUUUGUUAAACAAUGCUAAACUCUCCAGACUCCAUACAGGAACUCCCAACCAUAGCUCAUUACUCCAGUAUCAUGCCCCUCCCCUCAGGAACUGAAGAUUUGAGGUUCCUUGACCAGGGCAGCCUUUAUGGAGCUACUGAGUAGAGGACUUAUCAAGCUGGUUUCAGAUCACAAAGCCCUGGUAAUUUACAUGAAAAACACAAAGGGUGGAGAUGCCACAGCUGCUGGCAAAGAUGCA
rnacentral:lncRNA from 1 species